rnacentral:rRNA from 1 species
UACAGAGGUCUCAAGCGUUGUUCGGAUUCAUUGGGCGUAAAGGGUGCGUAGGUGGCGGGGUAAGUCUGGUGUGAAAUCUCGGGGCUCAACCCCGAAACUGCACUGGAUACUGCCUUGCUCGAGUACUGGAGAGGAGAUUGGAAUUUACGGUGUAGCAGUGAAAUGCGUAGAUAUCGUAAGGAAGACCAGUGGCGAAGGCGAGUCCCUGGACAACUCCUGACACUGAGGCACGAAAGCUAGGGGAGCAAACAGG